rnacentral:lncRNA from 1 species
AGAAUAUGAAGCCGAUGAACAUUUACGUGGAAUUUCAAACUUUGUUGAAAGUGCUGAUGGAAAAUGGGCUUAUAGCAGCACAGGAGUAUUUCUAGGAAAUGAAAAAGCUGAUUAUGUGGCAAGAAAUGUUUUCUCUUUGAAUAUUAAUGAGUCUUAGGAAAUGAAAAAGCUGAUUAUGUGGCAAGAAAUGUUUUCUCUUUGAAUAUUAAUGAGUCUUCUGGACACUACUACCAAACAGCCCGCAUUGCGCCGAUAUCUCUUAACUACUUUGGAUUUUGUAUGAAGAAGGGAAAUUAUAAUGUGAAACUUCAUUUUGCUGAGAUAAUGUUUUCUAAUGACCAGACUUUUAGCAGUUUUGGAAGGCGCAUAUUCGAUGUUUCAAUUCAAGUAAGUAAUGAAUACACAACUACUUCUUUCUUAGGCUUUGUUUGGUAAGCAUCUUAAUCAUGCACUUAUAGCAUAAACUUUUAUCAUAUAAGUGCUUGCUUGUGUAUAACCUAUUUCUAUAACAAAUGAUACCACAAAAUCAAACCCUUCUCAUUUUUUAAGCUAUCUUAUAGAGUUUAUGGAAUUUAGUUGAAAACAGCUUAUGGACAUGUCUUAAAGCUGUUCCUAUAAGCUCUUACAAACAGUUAAGCUUGUACUUGUGUCCGUAGAUAAACUCAAAUAAACCAAUCCAAACCGGCGCUUAGUUUCUAGUUUCUACUAAAAUGUUGCUCAUAUUUGGUAUCUGGUUUCUAACAAAUCUAAAGUUCCGAAUUUCAAAAAUAUAUAAUGACAGGGUCAUAAAUAUUUAAAAGACUUUAACAUUAUGGAAGAAGCCGGUGGAGUUGGCAAGGGAAUUAC